AUCCAGAUGACGUGUCCCAAAUAGGGGGGGGAACGCGCUUCCUGGAU
rnacentral:hammerhead_ribozyme from 1 species